UGUAACUGUAAAAUAAGGUGAAUGUACUUAAUGCCUCUGAAUUAUACAUUUAAAAAUUAUUAAUAUGGUAAAUUAUGUAUAUUUUAUGACAAUAAUAAAAAAGUCCCUGUGAUCUCUCUAUUUAUGUAGACAAAUAAAUGUCCAUUUUUAAAACCAUGUAACUCUCUUUUUUAAUCUUACAGGAAUAUCUAUUAUUUCCAUGUAUCUGUGUUUGGUGGUUAUAACAAGAACACAUACUUCUCCGGGAUUAUAUUCUUAACUUUCCUAUCUUCAGUUCUCUUUCAUCUGUUUUUGUACUAAAAUAUUCUUUCUUUCCUAUACAUGCUCUUUAUCCCUGAUACAGUAGCCUAACUUUUUCCCCUCUUCACAAACACACACAUUCUCUCAUUUCCAGCUUUUGAAGUCCAACUUAUCUUUCAAUAUCUAAAUAAUAGGUCAUUUCUAAGAAGUGUUCCUUAUGCUCAACAAUAAUCACCAAAUAUUCCUUUUCUUGUGGUAACAGUUUGUUUUUCUCUUAUUGUGUGUAUUGUAUUCUGCAAUAAAUUAUACUUAAUUGUGCUCAUACUGGUUUCAGUGUCUCAAAAAUUGGUUGAUAUCAGGAAACUCAGCAAAUAUUUAUAAUUAUAUUUGCCUUUUGAUCACUAUAAAAAAAAUUAAGCAUUACAAACUUUCCUUGGAUUCUAAGCCUUGAAAUGAUAAACACUUUAGAGCUAUACUUCACAUGAAACUAUAAAUCAUUGAUUAUUUAAUAUUAAAAAACAGAAAAUUUUUACAUUUGCUCUUUAACAUUACAGAAUAAGAGGAUAAAGUCCUUUCUUAAUGCUUAUAAGUACUCACAAUGAAUCCAAUAGUUCUCUGUGAGUUAAAUGUUUCUUUAAGUUACUUACUGCUCAAAUGCUAGAGACCGACUUUAUUUUUUUCUUUAAUUAGUACUAAGAAUUAGUACUUAUAACUUUUCUAUAAACCUGAGUAUAAAAUUCAGAGAAACAGCAUUUCAAUGCAUUUUUUCCAAACAAAUGUCACUUUAUGUUUACAGUUCCAGUACCCAUAUAAGCAUUGCAUUCUUGUAACAUAUAAGCCUAUCCUUUUUCUUAAUUCUUUCAGAAAAUUGGCCAUGCUUUGUUAAAUCUCAAGAAAAAAGUUUAUAAUUCCUCCUGAGUCAAUUGUUUUAUAAUAAGACAUCCCUUUGAUUAUAUUCAAACUGAGGUCUAUUUCAUUCAAACAAUAAGCAUUAAGCUUGAAAAACCAAGUUAAAAUAGUUCUGCCUUAAAAAAUUAGGUAUAAUAGUGAUUGAUGUAACAAGAAAACUUAAAAUUAAGGCCACUUUGUCCUUCCCAGAUAAUAUAUUUAAGGAAUAUAUAAGUCCUCUAUUUUAAAAAUUUACUUAAGUCCUAAUUUUAGCAAAUGAUAACUAAGAAUGAAUUGACUCUUAUGCAAGUCCUUUAGAAGAGUUAAUUUAGUUCAGUUCCAAGCUAAUGUAAUGUGGGCAGAAUGUAUCUUAUUUUUUAUGUAUAUUUACUUAUUAUAAUAAAAAUAUUUCAAGAAAUAUUUCUCUGGAAAUGAAACAUUUACUUUUGGCUUA